rnacentral:lncRNA from 1 species
AUGGCACCAAAGGCAAAGAAGGAAGCUCCUGCCCCCCUAAAGCUGAAGCCAAAUCGAAGGCUUUGAAGGACAAGAAGGCAGUGCUGAAAGGUGUCCACAGCCACAUAAAAAAGAAGAUCCACACAUCACCCAUCUUCCCGUGGCCAAGACGCUGCGACUCCAGAGGCAGCCCAGAUAUCCUCAGAAGAGCACCCCAGGAGAAACAAGCUUGACCACUAUGUUAUCAUCAAGUUUGUACUGGCUACUAAGUUUGCCAUGAAGAAGAUAGAAGACAACUCAUUGUGGAUGUUAAAGCCAGCAAGCACCAGAUCGAACAGGCUGUGAAGAAGCUCUAUGACACUGAUGUGGCCAAGGUCAUCACUCUGAUUCAGCCUGACGGAGAGAAGAAGGCACAUGUUAGACUGGCUUCUGAUUACGAUGCUUUGGAUGUUGCCAACAAAGUUGGGAUCAUCUAA